AUACGCCGGCAGAUGGUUAUGGGAGAAAUCCUAUGGAAACUCCUUCCUCCUAGUAAAGGCGUGGUGCUGAGAAGCACAACGGGAGACCGUUGGCAACGGAACAGAAACGACACCAACCUAGACAGAUGUCUAUGAUAAACUUUGAGUAUGUCUAGAGUUUGGGUGAAACGGCCGACCCACGCGGAGCAAGGCCAAACAGGGCGAUGUGCCUUUACUCAAAGCCCGGGUAGGCCGCAUAGUCAAAUGCCAUUAAUACAGAAGAAGGGUUAUAGCCGGCCUAU
rnacentral:RNase_P_RNA from 1 species